GAUGAAGAACGUAGCGAAAUGCGAUAAGUAAUGUGAAUUGCAGAAUUCAGUGAAUCAUCGAAUCUUUGAACGCACAUUGCGCCCCUUGGUAUUCCGAGGGGCAUGUCUGUUCGAGCGUCAUUAUAACCCCUCAAGCUCAGCUUGGUGUUGGGGCCUGCCGCACGGGCAGCCCUUAAAAUCAGUGGCGGUGCCAUCUGGCUCUAAGCGUAGUAAUUCUUCUCGCUAUAGAGUCCCGGUGGAUGCUUGCCAUUAACCCCCAAUUUUCUAUGGUUGACCUCGGAUCAGGUAGGGAUACCCGCUGAACUUAAGCAUAUCAAUAAGCGGAGGA
rnacentral:misc_RNA from 1 species